rnacentral:rRNA from 1 species
CCUACGGGAGGCUGCAGUAACGAAUCUUCCGCAAUGCACGAAAGUGUGACGGAGCGACGCCGAGUGUGGGAUGAAUUCCUUCGGGAUGUAAACCACUGUCAAGAGAAAGAAAGUUCUGAUCUACUCUAAAGGAAGUGGCGACUAACUCUGUGCCAGCAGUCGCGGUAAUACAGAGGCCACAAGCGUUAGGCGGAAUCACUGGGCUUAAAGCGUGUGUAGGCGGGAUGGUAAGUACUUUGUGAAAUCCCACGGCUUAACCGUGGAAUUGCUUGGUA